CUAAAUUUGAUUCAACAUUGGAAAUCUUGUCUGUUCAGACAUGGAUAGGAUUGAAGGAAUAUUAGCUUUUUCUUGAUUUCUUGGGUGGUGGUGCAUGGUUAUUCUUAGCUGACGGAGCAAUUAGUCUGGUUAAUUUUCCUGUUGUGUUUGAUACCAGAAGAGAUUUAGCCCCCAACAGAGAGCAUGAAGAUGGCCACCAGGAGGAAAAGACAGUUUAAUAAUACAUAUGUGGCCAGACUCAUGGGCUG
rnacentral:ncRNA from 1 species